rnacentral:rRNA from 1 species
CCCUUAGAUGUUCUGGGCUGCACGCGCGCUACACUGAUGCGCUCAACGAGUUUUAACCUUGCCUGGAAAGGUUGGGUAAUCUUUUUAAAACGCAUCGUGAUGGGGAUAGAUUAUUGCAAUUAUUAAUCUUCAACGAGGAAUUCCUAGUAAGCGCAAGUCAUCAGCUUGCGUUGAUUACGUCCCUGCCCUUUGUACACACCGCCCGUCGCUCCUACCGAUUGAAUGGUCCGGUGAAGCGUUCGGACCGUGGCCUUUGGACGGUUCGCCGUCUGUUGGCUGCGGGAAGUUCGUUAAACCUUAUCAUUUAGAGGAAGGAGAAGUCGUANCA